UCCUCGUUAAAACAACCAACUCUUCGCGGCAUCUUUACAACGAUUCGUUUCAAAACUUCACCGUCGUUGUAGAUGAGGUUUCCAUCGCAAGGGAGGUAGUGAGAUCCUCCUGUAAAAGAUUGCGUAAUCUCGUCGACGAUGGGGUAAGUCUGCCACUGGAGGGCUACCAUCCCAUGAGCAUCCGACCUCCGUACGGGGAUCAACGAGUUACCAUCGGAUUGUCGGAACAUGUGACGCUUACGUACGAACUCGACGAUGGUUUCUGUUGGUUGUGAUGUCAUAGAGGUCAAUUGUGAUGUCAUAUGGUUGUAGCGGAAUUAUUGGGUUAUGAUGUCAUAAAGCUGAUUGUGAUGAAAGGUUAGUUAUGUUUGUUAUGACAUCAUCAUUGAUGACAUCAUCAUUAGUAAUUAUGUGGCAUUGUUAAUUGACAAUCAUGAUUAUGAUGUCAUAGUGAUGAUUAUGAUGUC